CCUACGGGAGGCAGCAGUGGGGAAUAUUGGGCAAUGGAGGAAACUCUGACCCAGCAAUGCCGCGUGAAUGAAGAAGGUCUUCGGAUUGUAAAGUUCUUUAGUCAGGGAAGAAUAAAAUGACGGUACCUGACCAAGAAGCCCCGGCUAACUACGUGCCAGCAGCCGCGGUAAUACGUAGGGGGCAAGCGUUAUCCGGAAUUACUGGGUGUAAAGGGAGCGUAGACGGUUAAGUAAGUCUGGAGUGAAAGGCCGGGGCCCAACCCCGGGACUGCUCUGGAAACUAUUGAACUUGAGUGCAGGAGAGGUAAGCGGAAGUCCUAGUGUAGCGGUGAAAUGCGUAGAUAUUAGGAGGAACACCAGUGGCGAAGGCGGCUUACUGGACUGUAACUGACGUUGAGGCUCGAAAGCGUGGGGAGCAAACAGGAUUAGAUACCCUUGUAGUC
rnacentral:rRNA from 1 species